AAAAAGACAGCUUUUAUUAUUAAUCAGUUGGUCUCAGAUGUGCCCCUAAGAGAUAAAAUUAUGGAACAUUUAGAAAUAUCCUGCAUGCUGAGCUGGAAGAAAAAGCCAAGCCAUGUUUUCUUCUCUUUCAGACUAAGUGAAGAGGUAGGUGAAGCAUGAAAGCUCGAUCUAAAUAAAAUUGCUGAGAUAAAAAGGGAAGAUGGACUGAGGAAAAUGGAAAGAGAUGGGAAGAG
rnacentral:lncRNA from 1 species